rnacentral:rRNA from 1 species
CCUACGGGAGGCAGCAGUGGGGAAUAUUGCACAAUGGGGGAAACCCUGAUGCAGCGACGCCGCGUGAGUGAAGAAGUAUUUCGGUACGUAAAGCUCUAUCAGCAGGGAAGAAAAUGACGGUACCUGACUAAGAAGCCCCGGCUAACUACGUGCCAGCAGCCGCGGUAAUACGUAGGGGGCAAGCGUUAUCCGGAUUUACGGGGUGUAAAGGGAGCGUAGACGGCAGCGCAAGUCUGGAGUGAAAUCCCAUGGCUUAACCAUGGAACUGCUUUGGAAACUGUGCAGCUAGAGUGCAGGAGAGGUAAGCGGAAUUCCUAGUGUAGCGGUGAAAUGCGUAGAUAUUAGGAGGAACACCAGUGGCGUAGGCGGCUUACUGGACUGUAACUGACGUUGAGGCUCGAAAGCGUGGGGAGCAAACAGGAUUAGAUACCCGGGUAGUC